ensembl:lncRNA
CUUUCCGGUGUAACUGAGAUGCUCUCACGUUGUAUAGUGAAAUGCUCUCGCACACACUAAUGAGAUGGCAUGAGUGUCUCAGUAGUGUGUGUGAGUGUAUCUCAGUAGUGUGUGUGAGUGUGUCUCAGUAGUGUGUGUGAGAGUGUCUCAGUAGUGUGUGUGAGAGUGUCUCAGUAGUGUGUGUGAGUGUGUCUCAGUAGUGUGUGUGAGAGUGUCUCAGUAGUGUGUGUGAGUGUGUCUCAGUGUGUGUGAGAGUGUCUCAGUGUGUGUGUGAGUGUGUCUCAGUAGUGUGUGUGAGUGUGUCUCAGUAGUGUGUGUGAGUGUGUCUCAGUAGUGUGUGUGAGAGUGUCUCAUGUGUGUGAGUGUGUCUCAUGUGUGUGAGUGUGUCUCAGUAGUGUGUGUGAGAGUGUCUCAGUAGUGUGUGUGAGUGUGUUUAGUGUCUCAGUAGUGUGUGUGAGUGUGUCUCAGUAGUGUGUGUGAGUGUGU